rnacentral:miRNA from 1 species
UUUGCAUCCUGGCUCUCCCACUU